GUGUCAGCAGCCGCGGUAAGACGAACCGUGCGAACGUUGUUCGGAUUCACUGGGCUUAAAGGGCGCGUAGGCGGGUGGUCAAGUCAGAGGUGAAAUCCUCCAGCUUAACUGGAGAAGUGCCCCUGAUACUGGCCAUCUCGAGGGAGGUAGGGGCAUGUGGAACUUCCGGUGGAGCGGUGAAAUGCGUAGAUAUCGGAAGGAACGCCGGUGGCGAAAGCGACGUGCUGGACCUCUUCUGACGCUGAGGCGCGAAAGCCAGGGGAGCAAACGGGAUUAGAUACCCCAGUAGUCC
rnacentral:rRNA from 1 species